rnacentral:rRNA from 1 species
AACAGGAUUAGAUACCCUGGUAGUCCACGCCGUAAACGAUGUCGACUUGGAGGUUGUGCCCUUGAGGCGUGGCUUCCGGAGCUAACGCGUUAAGUCGACCGCCUGGGGAGUACGGCCGCAAGGUUAAAACUCAAAUGAAUUGACGGGGGCCCGCACAAGCGGUGGAGCAUGUGGUUUAAUUCGAUGCAACGCGAAGAACCUUACCUACUCUUGACAUCCAGAGAACUUAGCAGAGAUGCUUCGGUGCCUUCGGGAACUCUGAGACAGGUGCUGCAUGGCUGUCGUCAGCUCGUGUUGUGAAAUGUUGGGUUAAGUCCCGCAACGAGCGCAACCCUUAUCCUUUGUUGCCAGCGGUUAGGCCGGGAACUCAAAGGAGACUGCCAGUGAUAAACUGGAGGAAGGUGGGGAUGACGUCAAGUCAUCAUGGCCCUUACGAGUAGGGCUACACACGUGCUACAAUGGCAUAUACAAAGAGAAGCGACCUCGCGAGAGCAAGCGGACCUCAUAAAGUAUGUCGUAGUCCGGAUUGGAGUCUGCAACUCGACUCCAUGAAGUCGGAAUCGCUAGUAAUCGUGGAUCAGAAUGCCACGGUGAAUACGUUCCCGGGCCUUGUACACACCGCCCGUCACACCAUGGGAGUGGGUUGCAAAAGAAGUAGGCAGCUUAACCUUCGGGAGGGCGCUUACCACUUUGUGAUUCAUGACUGGGGUGAAGUCGUAACAAGGUAACC